GACGAACGCUGGCGGCGUGCUUAACACAUGCAAGUCGAACGGAAAGGCCCUGCUUUUGUGGGGUUCUCGAGUGGCGAACGCGUGAGUAACACGUGAGUAACCUGCCCUUGACUUUGGGAUAUCUUCAGGAAACUGGGGCUAAUACCGGAUAGAAGCUCCUGCUGCAUGGUGGGGGUUGGAAAGUUUCGGCGGUUGGGGAUGUACUAGCGGCUUGUCAGCUUGUUGGUGGGGUAGUUGCUUACCAGGGGUUUGACGGGUAGCCGGCCUGCGAGGGUGAACGGCCUCAUGAGGACUAAGAUAAGGCGCAGACUGCUAUGGGAGGCAGCAGUGGGGAGUAUUGCACAAUGAGCGGGAGCCUGAUGCGACAGCGCCACGUGCGGAAUGAUGGCUUUCGAGUUGAGAACCGCUUUGGCCGUUGACGAUCCGUGAGUGACGGUACCUGGCAAAGAAGCCCCGGCUAACUACGUG
rnacentral:rRNA from 1 species